rnacentral:rRNA from 1 species
AGAGUUUGAUCAUGGCUCAGGACGAACGCUGGCGGCGUGCUUAACACAUGCAAGUCGAACGGAAAGGCCCCUUCGGGGGUACUCGAGUGGCGAACGGGUGAGUAACACGUGGGUGAUCUGCCCUGCACUUUGGGAUAAGCCUGGGAAACUGGGUCUAAUACCGAAUAGGACCGCAUGCUUCAUGGUGUGUGGUGGAAAGCUUUUGCGGUGUGGGAUGGGCCCGCGGCCUAUCAGCUUGUUGGUGGGGUAAUGGCCUACCAAGGCGACGACGGGCAGCCGGCCUGAGAGGGUGUCCGGCCACACUGGGACUGAGAUACGGCCCAGACUCCUACGGGAGGCAGCAGUGGGGAAUAUUGCACAAUGGGCGCAAGCCUGAUGCAGCGACGCCGCGUGGGGGAUGACGGCCUUCGGGUUGUAAACCUCUUUCAGUAUCGGCGAAGCUCCAGGAUUUUUCUUGGGGUGACGGUAGGUACAGAAGAAGCACCGGCCAACUACGUGCCAGCAGCCGCGGUAAUACGUAGGGUGCGAGCGUUGUCCGGAAUUACUGGGCGUAAAGAGCUCGUAGGUGGUUUGUCACGUUGUCUGUGAAAACUCACAGCUUAACUGUGGGCGUGCGGGCGAUACGGGCAGACUGGAGUACUGUAGGGGAGACUGGAAUUCCUGGUGUAGCGGUGGAAUGCGCAGAUAUCAGGAGGAACACCGGUGGCGAAGGCGGGUCUCCGGGCAGUAACUGACGCUGAGGAGCGAAAGCGUGGGGAGCGAACAGGAUUAGAUACCCUGGUAGUCCAA